rnacentral:tRNA from 1 species
GGUGGGGUUCCCGAGCGGUCAAAGGGAUCAGACUGUAAAUCUGACGCGCAAGCUUCGGUGGUUCGAAUCCACCCCCCACCACCA